ACUUGCUGCUGUUGCUGCGUUCGCUGUUGGAGGGUGACUGCUGCAGAACGAGGGGUUGGUCGUUGGCCGGGAGCGACGACGGUGGUUACAAUCGACGGCUACGGCAGCAGAGGGUGCCACUGUUUUUGUUGCUGCGUGGUGAUUCUGUUUUUGUCGCACCACCGAAGGAGUUGGCCGGAAGGAUCACGAGCGGUUGAGGAGAAGGCUGCGGUGGCUGGCAGCACCGGUGGUCACUGGCCGGAGCGCAGCGUUGGCGGUGGAGAAAAAGGCAGCGAGCGUCGUCGC
rnacentral:lncRNA from 1 species